rnacentral:lncRNA from 1 species
CUAUAAAGUGUAAUAGCUGUCAGAUGUGAUUUAAAUGCAUAACAACGGCAUACACACAAGCACUUGCAUACACAUUUAAGACAUGAGACACGCUAAUUCCAUCUCUUAAAAUGUGUCUAUAGGUGAGACGCUUUGCCUUGAUUGGAGGGACCACACUGGAGGUGCGAGUCCGCCGUGUAAUGGCUUAUGCCAUCACAAACGAGCUGGCCUCGGUACUAAACUGGGCAGGGAAAAAAACAAAGGACCAGACGAAGCAAAAAAGGGGAUUUAAAGAUACUGCGCUGUGCAGAUGCAUAUUUGAUGGCCUGACGCAGCAGUUAGGGGCAAACUCUAUGUCAGAGUUUGUCUUUGCACAGGCAGUGCAGAAAUGGCUCCGAUACGCCCCAGACCGCUUGGGUGGCGCAGGACGCACAUCAUCCGUCCCCAUCCCGGAGUAAAAACUACAAAGUUAUGUUAAAAUAUAAAUGUAAAUAGAAAACUGUGUUUUAAUAAAGUAUUUAGCAAACGAAACAUGUCUAUUGACCUUUUUUUGUUUAGUUUUUUUUUUCUCUGUUACAUCACAUGCAAUGCUUUCUUAUUUUAGGAUAUUAAUAUUGACAUGAUACAUUGUGAGAAAUUUGAUUUUUAUAAAGGGUGUCCAGUUUGAGGAAUAAGUGCAAUUAUGUGUUUAGGUGGUUUAAGUAUUGAUGGAAAUAUGCAGUAGUUUAGUAUUGGUUAAAAUAACUAUAAAGAAAGGUAGAUUUCCAGUCAUGAUUUAACUUGUUUUAAUAAAAAACAACUGUGCGAAAGAGGUGGAAAAUCAACACCAUAGCU